rnacentral:rRNA from 1 species
UACGGGGGGUGCGAGCGUUGUCCGGAAUCACUGGGCGUAAAGGGCGCGUAGGUGGCGUGAUAAGGGUGUGGUGAAAGCCCGGGGCUUAACCCCGGGUCUGCCAUGCCGACUGUCAGGCUCGAGUACUGUAGGGGCAGGCGGAAUUCCGGGUGUAGCGGUGGAAUGCGUAGAGAUCGGGAGGAACACCUGAGGCGAAGGCGGGCUACUGGGCCGAUACUGACGCUGAUGCGCGAAAGCCAGGGGAGCGAACGGG